rnacentral:lncRNA from 1 species
UUAAUAACAAUGGGAAUGAAUGAUAAACACUUCCCUCGAUUUCACAAAGAGUGGCACUAAAAGUGGAUUGGACAUGGCUAAGAAGAAUGAUCAAAAAACACACAAAGCAGCUUCACAAGAAGGAACUGAGAACCCCACUCAAAACCACAAAAAAACCACCAAAGGAAUCACGUAGAGAUGGCCACUUAUGGAGGCCGUAGGAGGGCAGCAACUUGUAGUAGGGAUAACAAAAAAAAAUCCGUCAAAUUUGAUACCUGCGGACCUCGUCCCUAAUGGGACCGGGAUUACCUGCUAAUUAGGUAUACAGGUCGAGUACGAGGGGAUUUUGCCCCGAGGUGAGUACGGAUAACGGGGGCCCUGUCCUUUUUUUAAAGAAUUCAAUACUUUAAAAUCGAAAAUUCCACGAAAUUUCAUUAAUUCU